AUCAAAGAAUACGAAACUGCCUUUCUUGUAUAUAAAACCAUACCCAAUUUUUCUUAGUAUGGAUUGUAAAAUUAGGUAUUUUCUGUAGGUGAGAUAUGCACAGAAGUGAUAGAUAUGUUUUAUAAAUAUAGAAAAUUUAAUAUCUUAAUCAACAACAAAAAAUAAAAAAAUAACUGUUUCAUAUACCCAAGAGCCUGUGGAUAAAACUAGAUAGCUGAAAUGGUUUAAAUUAAAGUAAGACCACCAAUUUCCCGG
rnacentral:lncRNA from 1 species